AUACGGAGGACGCGAGCGUUAUCCGGAUUCAUUGGGUUUAAAGGGUGCGCAGGCGGCCGUGCAAGUCAGCGGUGAAAGCCCGGGGCUCAACCCCGGAAGUGCCGUUGAUACUGCAUGGCUGGAAUGCGGUCGAGGCGGGCGGAACGUGGCGUGUAGCGGGGAAAUGCGUAGAUAUGCCACAGAAAGCCGAUAGCGGAGGCAGCUCGCCAGGCCUGCAUUGACGCUCGGGCACGAAAGCGUGGGGAUCGAACAGGAUUAGAUACCCUGGUAGUCCACGCCGUAAACGAUGGGCGCUCGUCGUCGGCGGCAGACAGUCGGCGGCCAAGCGAAAGCGAUAAGCGCCCCACCUGGGGAGUACGGUCGCAAGGCUGAAACUCAAAGGAAUUGGCGGGG
rnacentral:rRNA from 1 species